rnacentral:rRNA from 1 species
GUGUUACCCCCGUAGCUAAGCAUAUCAAUAAGCGGAGGAAAAGAAACUAACAAGGAUUCCCCUAGUAACUGCGAGUGAAGCGGGAAAAGCUCAAAUUUAAAAUCUGGCGGUCUUUGGCCGUCCGAGUUGUAGUCUGGAGAAGUGCUUUCCGCGCUGGACCGUGUAUAAGUCUCUUGGAACAGAGCGUCAUAGAGGGUGAGAAUCCCGUCUUUGACACGGACUACCAGUGCUUUGUGAUGCGCUCUCAAAGAGUCGAGUUGUUUGGGAAUGCAGCUCAAAAUGGGUGGUGAAUUCCAUCUAAAGCUAAAUAUUGGCGAGAGACCGAUAGCGAACAAGUACCGUGAGGGAAAGAUGAAAAGCACUUUGGAAAGAGAGUUAAACAGUACGUGAAAUUGCUGAAAGGGAAACGCUUGAAGUCAGUCGCGUUGUCUGGGACUCAGCCUUGCUUUUGCUUGGUGCACUUUCCGGAUGACGGGCCAGCAUCGAUUUUGACCGUCGGAAAAGGGCUAGGGUAAUGUGGCACCUCCGGGUGUGUUAUAGACUUUAGUCGCAUACGGCGGUCGGGAUCGAGGAACGCAGCGCGCCGUAAGGCAGGGGUUCGCCCACUUUCGCGCUUAGGAUGCUGGCGUAAUGGCUUUAAACGACCCGUCUUGAAACACGGACCAAGGAGUCUAACAUACCUGCGAGUGUUUGGGUGGAAAACCCGAGCGCGUAAUGAAAGUGAAAGUUGAGACCUCUGUCGUGGAGGGCAUCGACGCCCGGACCUGACGUUCUCUGACGGAUCCGCGGUAGAGCAUGUAUGUUGGGACCCGAAAGAUGGUGAACUAUGCCUGAAUAGGGUGAAGCCAGAGGAAACUCUGGUGGAGGCUCGUAGCGAUUCUGACGUGCAAAUCGAUCGUCAAAUUUGGGUAUAGGGGCGAAAGACUAAUCGAACCAUCUAGUAGCUGGUUCCUGCCGAGUCCCCCUUCAAGAGGAUUA